UACGAAGGGGGCUAGCGUUGCUCGGAAUCACUGGGCGUAAAGGGUGCGUAGGCGGGUCUUAAGUCAGGGGUGAAAUCCUGGAGCUCAACUCCAGAACUGCCUUUGAUACUGAAGAUCUUGAGUUCGGGAGAGGUGAGUGGAACUGCGAAGUGUAGAGGUGAAAUUCGUAGAUAUUCGCAAGAACACCAGUGGCGAAGGCGGCUCACUGGCCCCGAUACUGACGCUGAGGCACGAAAAGCGUGGGGGAGCAAACAGGG
rnacentral:rRNA from 1 species